GAUGAACGCUGGCGGCGUGCUUAACACAUGCAAGUCGAACGGAAAGGCCCGGCUCUUGUGUCUUUCUCGUUAGGCGAACGGGUGAGUAACACGUGAGUAUCCCCCCCUUGUCUUUGGGGUAAAUCUUGGAAAAAGGGGCGAAUACCCGAUAGGAGCUCUUGCACCACGGUGUUGGUAGGAAAGAUUCGGCGUUGGUGGAUGGACUGGCUGGUUAUCCGCUGGAUUGUGAGGUAGGUGAUUACCAGGGCUUUGACGGGUAGCCGGCCUGGGAGGGUGAACGGCCACAUUAGGCCUGCGGUACGGCCCAGACGCCUACGUGCGGCAGUAGUGGGAAGUCUUGCGCAAUGGGCGGACGCCUGAUGCAGCAGCGCCGGGUGCGGGAUGCCGGCCUACGGGUUGUAAACCGCUGUCGCAUGAGCCGAAGCGAUCGUGACGGUAAUGAGUAAGAAAGCACCGGCUAACUACGUG
rnacentral:rRNA from 1 species